GGGGUUCUUGUCAGACUUGAGCUGGGUGGAGCCCAGGUACUUGGCCCCAAAUAUGACCCCAUCCAGGAGGUCAUUUGGGUCACAGGGGCCAGGUUGGAUGGUCCUCUGCGCCCUGUAAAUGAAGAGGUCAGUGAUUAUUGAACAAAGUGAAAGACACAGCUCAUUUGAACCAAUCAUCAGCAAAAGUCUACCUCCGGAGCCUCCUCCCCUAACUUCAUCCAUACGGGCUCUGGGACCUCGUCCUCCGGGAAAGACUCCACGGAGUCAUCCCUAU